GAUGAACGCUGGCGGCGUGCCUAAUACAUGCAAGUCGAGCGAACGGACGAGAAGCUUGCUUCUCUGAUGUUAGCGGCGGACGGGUGAGUAACACGUGGAUAACCUACCUAUAAGACUGGGAUAACUUCGGGAAACCGGAGCUAAUACCGGAUGAUAUUUUGAACCGCAUGGUUCAAAAGUGAAAGACGGUCUUGCUGUCACUUAUAGAUGGAUCCGCGCUGCAUUAGCUAGUUGGUAAGGUAACGGCUUACCAAGGCAACGAUGCAUAGCCGACCUGAGAGGGUGAUCGGCCACACUGGAACUGAGACACGGUCAAAACUCCUACGGGAGGCAGCAGUAGGGAAUCUUCCGCAAUGGGCGAAAGCCUGACGGAGCAACGCCGCGUGAGUGAUGAAGGUCUUCGGAUCGUAAAACUCUGUUAUUAGGGAAGAACAUAUGUGUAAGUAACUGUGCACAUCUUGACGGUACCUAAUCAGAAAGCCACGGCUAACUACGUG
rnacentral:rRNA from 1 species